rnacentral:rRNA from 1 species
UACGGGGGGAGCAAGCGUUGUUCGGAUUUACUGGGCGUAAAGGGCGCGUAGGCGGCCAGCACAAGUCAGUUGUGAAAUCUCCGAGCUUAACUCGGAAAGGUCAACUGAUACUGUGCGGCUAGAGUGCGGAAGGGGCAACUGGAAUUCUUGGUGUAGCGGUGAAAUGCGUAGAUAUCAAGAGGAACACCUGCGGCGAAGGCGGGUUGCCAGAACGCGCUCGACGGUGAGGGAUGAAAGCUGGGGGAGCAAACCGG